GUGAACGCUGGCGGUAGGCCUAACACAUGCAAGUCGAACGGCAGCACAGUAAGAGCUUGCUCUUACGGGUGGCGAGUGGCGGACGGGUGAGGAAUACAUCGGAAUCUACUUUUUCGUGGGGGAUAACGUAGGGAAACUUACGCUAAUACCGCAUACGACCUACGGGUGAAAGCAGGGGAUCUUCGGACCUUGCGCGAUUGAAUGAGCCGAUGUCGGAUUAGCUAGUUGGCGGGGUAAAGGCCCACCAAGGCGACGAUCCGUAGCUGGUCUGAGGGGAUGAUCAGCCACACUGGAACUGAGACACGGUCCAGACUCCUACGGGAGGCAGCAGUGGGGAAUAUUGGACAAUGGGCGCAAGCCUGAUCCAGCCAUACCGCGUGGGUGAAGAAGGCCUUCGGGUUGUAAAGCCCUUUUGUUGGGAAAGAAAAGCAGCAGGUUAAUACCCCGCUGUUCUGACGGUACCCAAAGAAUAAGCACCGGCUAACUUCGUG
rnacentral:rRNA from 1 species